AGGCUUGGAGUUUGUAGCAGACAGCUUUUGGUCACCACAUCACAUCUCCUCAUCCACCUCUGAUGCCAGUUGCUGCUGUGUUAGGAGGUUAUGACCAUGCUCCAGCUCAGUACCCAGGACCUUCCACACCUGCCUCUGCCUUUGAGUAUCAACAAAGCCACAGGAAAUGUUCAUUUGGGGGAGGGAGGUUGGCCAGUGUACUCCAUGACAGCCUCAUGCAGGGGAGAGACUGAAGCUGGGAAAAUCUGUGAACACUGAAGAGGAUCUGUCAGGCUCGGCCUGGAUGAAAAGUUUCAAGUUGGGGGUUCAAAGAGACACUGAGGCAGACUGUCCUCUGGGCCCAUCUUUUAGUUGCUCCCAGAUCCAAUCAAGUUGGCAACAGAGAUCAACCAUCAUUCUAUGCAAUAAGAAUUUGUCAGCUCCGCUAUAACCUAAUGGGCCCAUCAUCGUGCAUAUGUUCCUCAUUGACUACAGCAUCGUUAUUAACUGACUAAUGAGGUAUCUUCAGGAGGGAAAGUCGGGCAGAUCUUCCUGCUCAGGCACUGGGCAUGAAGUCACUUCCACAGGAUAUGGAGAGGAUAAAGCAUUCUGGGCAGUUGGAAAGACAAGUAAUGCCCUACAGUUGUAACACAGUUUGAGAGAAGCCUAUCCUCACUGUGACACGAAAACUCAAUCACCACAUUUAUGAAUCACAAGAAGGAUCUCAGUUUAUAUUUCCAAGAGAACAAUGGACAUGAACACAUGGAGGAGGAGGGCUGUUACAGAGUAAAAGAGCCUGAGGGAGGAAACCAAACACCGAGUCCCAUCUCAUUGACAUCCUUUCCAAAGCAUCUUUGGAACGAACCCAGGAACUCUAA